GACGAACGCUGGCGGCGUGCCUAAUACAUGCAAGUAGAACGCUGAAGAGAGGAGCUUGCUCUUCUUGGAUGAGUUGCGAACGGGUGAGUAACGCGUAGGUAACCUGCCUGGUAGCGGGGGAUAACUAUUGGAAACGAUAGCUAAUACCGCAUAAAAUGGAUUAUCGCAUGAUAAUUCAUUGAAAGGUGCAAAUGCAUCACUACCAGAUGGACCUGCGUUGUAUUAGCUAGUUGGUGGGGUAACGGCUCACCAAGGCGACGAUACAUAGCCGACCUGAGAGGGUGAUCGGCCACACUGGGACUGAGACACGGCCCAGACUCCUACGGGAGGCAGCAGUAGGGAAUCUUCGGCAAUGGACGGAAGUCUGACCGAGCAACGCCGCGUGAGUGAAGAAGGUUUUCGGAUCGUAAAGCUCUGUUGUAAGAGAAGAACGAGUGUGAGAGUGGAAAGUUCACACUGUGACGUAUCUACCAGAAAGGACG
rnacentral:rRNA from 1 species